UGUGGGAGCUGGCUUGCCUGCGAUAGCGGUGGUCCAGUCAUGAUGGGAUAACUGACAGACCGCCAUCGCAGGCAAGCCAGCUCCCACA
rnacentral:misc_RNA from 1 species